CCUACGGGUGGCUGCAGUAAGGAAUAUUGGUCAAUGGACGCAAGUCUGAACCAGCCAUGCCGCGUGAAGGAUGAAGGUCCUCUGGAUUGUAAACUUCUUUUAUAGGGGGCGAAAAAAGGUUUUUCUAAAUCACUUGACAGUACCCUAUGAAUAAGCACCGGCUAACUCCGUGCCAGCAGCCGCGGUAAUACGGAGGGUGCAAGCGUUACCGGGAUUCACUGGGGCGAAGGCGGGCAGAGGCGGGUGGGGUGAAAUCCUGGAGCUUAACUCCAGAACUGCCUUUGAUACUAUCUAUCUUGAAUAUGGUGGAGGUAAGCGGAAUAUGUCAUGUAGCGGUGAAAUGCAUAGAUAUGACAUAGAACACCUAUUGCGAAGGCAGCUUACUACGCCUAUAUUGACGCUGAGGCACGAAAGCGUGGGGAUCGAACAGGAUUAGAUACCCGAGUAGUC
rnacentral:rRNA from 1 species